AAGAACAUGCCACAGUUUAUUAUGAUCCAGACAGUCAAAGGCUUUAGAAUUGUCAGCUCCUUUUUUAUUUUUUAUUUUCUUUCUUUCUUUCUUUCUUUCUUUCUUUCUUUCUUUCUUUCUUUCUUUCUUUAAUCCUCUUCUUAUCAACUAUUUUAUGUAUAUGUUCUUGUUUUUUGAAAGACUUUAAUAAAUAUUAUAUACAAAAAAGAAUUGUCAGCUCUUGAAAGCUAUCGGACUCAAACAGGCUCACACAGGCAGCUCCAUGGAAACGCUUUAUUGAGGACCUUCUUUACAAGAUGAAAACGAAGCUGAAACUGAUGUAUUCCCACCAAACCCUGAGUAUAUCCACCUCCCACCUUCCCCCCUCCCCACAUUCACACGUAUCUGUUAUAUGAUCCUUUUCCCAGGCUUGAAAAACCAGAGCUGGCCAUAAAACCCAUCCCUGGCCAGAUGGUCCUUAUCGUUUAGAUUAUCUCCCACCCCUCCAUUGCUCUGGCAGGAUGUGGAGAGUACAGUUGUUAUGAAUGCUGAGCUAUCACAUCCUGACAUAGAAUAGUCAAUGAAACAGAAAUAGAUAUUUUUCUGAAACUCCCUGGCUUCCUCCAUUAUCCAGCGGAUAUUGGCAAUUUGGUCUCUUGUUCCUCUGCCUUUUCUAAACCCAGCUUGGACAUCUGGCAACUCUCACUCCAUGUAUUGCUGGAGUCUGCCUUGCAGGAUCUUGAGCGUUACCUUACUGGCAUGGGAAAUAAGUGCCACUGUGUGGAAGUUUGGGCAUUCUUUAGCAUUUCCCUUUUUGGGUAUGGGGAUAUAAAUUGAUUUUUUCCAAUCUGAUGGCCAUUCUUGUGUUUUCCAUAUUUGCUGGAAUAUGGCAUGCAUCACCUCGACAUCAUCAUCUUCCAAGAUUUUAAACAACUCAGCUGGGAUCCCGUUGUCUCCUGCUGCCUUGCUGUUAGCAAUGCUUCUUAAUGCCCAUUCAACCUCACUCAUCAGGAUGUCUGGUUCUAAUUCACCUAUCACACCGUCAAAGCUAUCCUCUAUAUUAUUAUCCUUCCUAUACAGAUCUUCUGUAUAUUCUCACCACCAUUUCUUGAUCUCUUCACCUUCUGUUAAAUCCUUGCCAUCUUUGUUUUUGAUCAUGUCACACAGCCCGAAAGACAUACAACAACCCUGUGAUCCUGGCCAUGAACGCCUUUGACAACAUAUGCCUUCGAUAUUUCUGAUUUUCUGGAAGAGGUCUCUUGUCCUUGCUGUCUUCUUCCACUUCCAUGCAUUGCUUGUUUAAAAAUAGUUCCUUGUUUCUUCUGGCUAACCUCUGGAAUUGUGUGUUUAGUUGGGCAUAUCUCCCCCUAUCACUGUUUCCUUUCGCCUUUCUUCUUUCUUGGGCUACUUCCAAUGUCUCAGCUGACAACCACCUUGCCUUCUUGGUUUUUUUUCUUUGGGAUGUACCUUGUUGCCGCCUCCUCCACAAUAUUGUGGACUUCUGUCCAUAGUUCUUCUGGGACUCUAUUUAUUACAUCUAGUCCCUGAAAUCUAUUCUUCAACUCCACUGCAUAUUCACUAGGAAUAUUUGUAAGAUCAUAUCUAAUAGGUCUGUGUAUUUUCCUUAUUCUCUUUAGUCUGAUUCUAAAUUUUGUAAUAAGAAGUUCGUGAUCUGUAGUACAGUCAGCUCCAGGUCUUGUUUUCACUGACUGGAUGGAUGUCUGCCACCUUUGGCUGCAAAGGAUGUAGUCAAUCUGAUUUUGGUGUUGACAAUCUGGUGAAGUCCAUGUGUAAAGCCAUCUUUUAGGUUGUUGGAAGAGAGUGUUUGUUAUGCACCAUGAGUUUUCCUGGCAACAUUCUAUCAGCCUAGAUCCUGCUUCAUUUUGUUGUCCCAAACCAUGCUUGCCUAGGAUCCCGGUUGUCAUUUGACUGCCCACCUUAGCAUUCCAAUCUCCUGUAAUGAGAAUAAUGUCUCUUUUUGGUGUGUUAUCCAGUAGGUGCUGCAGAUCCUCAUAGAACUGAUCUAAUUCUGCUUCUUCAGCAGCUGUGGUUGGGGCAUAUAUUUGGAUCACUGUGAUGUUAAACAGCUUGCCUUGAACUCAAAUAGAGAUCAUUCUGUCAUUUUUGGGUUGUAUCCAAGCACUGCUUUAGCAACUUUCUUAUUAAUUAUGAAGGCUACUCCAUUUCUUUGGUGUUCCUCUUGUCCGCAGUAGUAGAUCUGGUGGUCACCUGUUGUGAAGUGGCCCAUUCCAGUCUAUUUCCAUUCACUGACUCCCAGAAUGUCUUAUGUUUAAUCUUGACAUCUCAACAAUAACCACAUCCAGUUUGCCCUGGCUCAUAGAUCUUACCUUCCAGGUUCCUAUAGUGUGUUGAUUUUUAGAACAUCGGAUUCGUCGUUCACUUCCAGCACCGUCAGCCGUUAGCCUUCCUUUCAGCUGGGGCUAGUUGGACCAGUCCUCUGUUCCUCCCCAGUAGCAUUUUGACCAUCUUCUGACCAUCUUCCAAUGGUUGUACUGAUCCAUUUAGUUUUCAUAGCAAGAUAAUAAUAUAAUAAUAAAACUUUAUUUAUAUACCACCCGAUCUCCCAGAAGGGACUGAAAGUGUUUUACUACAGUAAUACACAGCAUACAAUAAAUAAUACAUACAAUACAUAACAAUAUAAAACAGAUUAUUACACAAAAUAAAAUGUUACGCUAAAAAUAGAAUACUGGAGUGGGUUGCCAUUACCUUCCCCAGGGAUCGUAUUUAGUCUGACCUCUCUGCCAUAACCUUCCCAACUUGGGUGCCCCUGCAACCUAGAAUUGUAUUAAUUAUUUAAGCUGCUGCAUCACACUGUUAAUUCAUGUUCAGCUUGUGGUCUACUAAGACUCCUAAAUCCUUUUCACAUGCACUGUUUUCAAGCCAGAUGUCACCAUUCUAUAUCUGUUAAUUUCAUUUUUUCCUAAGUCAUACAUGCAUACAUUACAUCUUUCUCCCUGCUGAAAUAUAUUUGGUUAGAUUUUACCUAGCUUUAUAGUCUGUUAAGAUAAUUUUAGAUUCUGAUUUUAAUUCUGUCCACUGAAUUAGCUAUCCCACUCAAUCCA
rnacentral:lncRNA from 1 species